GGUGGUUCAGUGGUAGAAUGCUCACCUGCCACGUGGGCGCCCGGGUUCGAUUCUCGGCC
rnacentral:tRNA from 1 species